UUUUUUUUAAUUAUAAAACUGUAAUUAAACUCAAAGAAUAUGGAAAAUAGUAUAUUUAAAUUUGAGAAGAAUGACACAUG
rnacentral:sRNA from 1 species